AUUGAACGCUGGCGGCAUGCCUUACACAUGCAAGUCGAACGGCAGCGCGGGAGCAAUCCUGGCGGCGAGUGGCGAACGGGUGAGUAAUAUAUCGGAACGUGCCCAGUAGUGGGGGAUAGCCCGGCGAAAGCCGGAUUAAUACCGCAUACGACCUACGGGUGAAAGGGGGGGAUCGCAAGACCUCUCGCUAUUGGAGCGGCCGAUAUCAGAUUAGGUAGUUGGUGGGGUAAAGGCCUACCAAGCCUGCGAUCUGUAGUUGGUCUGAGAGGACGACCAGCCACACUGGGACUGAGACACGACCCAGACUCCUACGGGAGGCAGAAGUGGGGAAUUUUGGACAAUGGGCGAAAGCCUGAUCCAGCAAUGCCGCGUGCAGGAAGAAGGCCUUCGGGUUGUAAACUGCUUUUGUCAGGGAAGAAAUCCUCUAGGCUAAUACCUUGGGGGGAUGACGGUACCUGAAGAAUAAGCACCGGCUAACUACGUGCCAGCAGCCGCGGUAAAAC
rnacentral:rRNA from 1 species